rnacentral:rRNA from 1 species
GACGUAGGGCGCGAGCGUUGUCCGGAUUUAUUGGGCGUAAAGAGCUCGUAGGCGGCUUGUCGCGUCGUCCGUGAAAACUUGGGGCUCAACCCCAAGCUUGCGGUCGAUACGGGCAGGCUAGAGUUCGGUAGGGGAGACUGGAAUUCCUGGUGUAGCGGUGAAAUGCGCAGAUAUCAGGAGGAACACCUAUUGCGAAGGCAGCUCGCUGGGACGUAACUGACGCUGAGACACGAAAGCGUGGGUAGCAAACAGG